GCCAACGGCCAUAGCAUGCUGGUCACAACGGUUCCCGUAACGACGCACUUAAAAGUAUAAGCAACAUCGGGCGUGGUGCAAACUUGGAUGGGUGACCGUUUGAGAACGCCACGUGCUGUUGGUU
rnacentral:rRNA from 2 species